UACAGGAAAAUUUCCAUGGCAUUGGGUAGG
rnacentral:piRNA from 1 species